rnacentral:rRNA from 1 species
UACAGAGGGGGCAAGCGUUGUUCGGAAUUACUGGGCGUAAAGGGCGCGUAGGCGGCCUGUUAAGUCGAACGUGAAAUCCCCGGGCUCAACCCGGGAACUGCGUCCGAUACUGGCAGGCUUGAAUCCGGGAGAGGGAUGCGGAAUUCCAGGUGUAGCGGUGAAAUGCGUAGAUAUCUGGAGGAACACCGGUGGCGAAGGCGCUUUCUGGUCCGUUAACUGACGCUGAGGCGCGAAAGCAUGGGGGAGCGAACGGGG